CGACCCCAGGUCAGGCAGGAUUACUCGCUGAACUUAAGCAUAUGAGUAAGCGGAGGAAAAGAAACUUACCAGUAUUCCCUUAGUAACGACAAGCGAAUCGGGAAAAGCCCAGCUUGAGAAUCGAUCGCCAUCGGCAUUCGAAUUGUAGUCUAAAGAAGCGUCCUCAGCAGUGGACGGGGCCUAAGUUUCUUGAAAAGGGGCGUCAGAGAGGGUGAGAGCCCCGUCAUGCCUAAACCCUGUCGCACCAUGAGGCACUAUCUACGAUUCAAGUUGUUUGGGAAUGCAGCCCUAAUCGGGCGGUAAAUUUUGUUGAAGGUUAAAUACGGGCAAGAGACGGAUUGCGAACAAGUACCGCGAGGGAAAGAUGAAAAAGACUUUGAAAAAAGAGUCAAAGAAUGCUUGAAAUUGUUGGGAGGAAAGCGGAUAGGGGCUGGCGAUGCACCCUGGUCGGAUGUGGAACAGCGAGAGUCGAUUCGCCGAUCAGCUCGGGGCAUGGACUGACAUGGGUCAUGGCGGUGGCCAAGUCCGAGCCUUUGAUACGCCCAUAGAGACGUCAUUUCCACGAUUGUGAGAUCGAGCACGUACCGUCUCAGUAUGCUCCGGCAACUGCAUGCUCUGAGCGUCGGCUUGUAGGCUCCCUAUUUGGCCCAUCUUGAAACACGGACCAAGGAGUCUGACAUGUGUGUGAGUCAACGGGCUAGAAAACCCAUAAGGCACAAGGAAGCUGAUUGGAGGGAUCCCUCAUGGUGUACUAUCGAUAGACCUUUAUCUUUUGAGAAAGGUUCGAGAGAGAGUAUGCCUAUCGAGACCUGAAAUAUGGUGAACUAUGCUUCAGCGGGACGAUGCUAAAGGAAACUCUAGCGGAGGCCUGCAGCAAUACUUACGUGCAAAUUGUUCAUCUGACUUUGUUAUAAGGGCAAAAGAAAAAUUGAACCGUCUAGUAGUUGGUUCCCUCCAAAGUUUCCCUUAGGAUAGCUGGAGCCCUUAGCGAGUUCUAUCGGGUAAAGCUAAUGAUUAGAGGCAUCGUGGGGGCAACACCCUCAAGUUAUUCUCAAACUUUAAAUAGGUAGGACGGCGCGGCUGCUUUGUUGAGCUAUGCCACGGAAUCGAGAGCUCCAAGUGGGCCAUUUUUGGUAAGUAGAACUAGCAAUACGAGAUGAACCGAAAGCUGGGUUACGGUGCCCAAUUACGUGCUAACCUAGAAACCACAAAGGGUGCUAGUUGAUUAAGACAGUAGAACGGUGGUCAUGGAAGUCGAAAUCUGCUAAGGAGUGUGUAACAAAUUACCUGUCGAAUCAACUACCCAGAAAAUAGAUGGAACUUAAUCGCAUGACCUAUAAUCGGCCGUCGGGGAAAGGGCCAGGCCUCGAUGAGUAAGAGUAUGCAGUGGUCACCGCAAAACCCGUGGUGCGACCCUGGCGGAGCGACUAUCAGUGUAAAUCUUGAUGGUAGUAGCAAAUAUUCAAAUGAAAACUUUAAAGGCUGAAAACAGUAAAGGUUCCAUGUGAACAACACUUGCACAUGGGUUAGUCGAUCUUAAGAGACAGGGGAAGCCUAUUCGAUAGCCCGCCCAGGGUGAGCUUUGAAAAGGAAUCGGGUUAAAAUUCCUAAACUGAGAUGCGGCAGUUGACAGCAAUAUUAGGGAGUCCUGAGACGUCGGCGGGGGCCUCAGGAAGAGUUAUCUUUUCUGUUUCACGACUUGUCCACCCUAGAAAUGACUUAGUCGACGGUAGGGUCCAGCGGUAGGAAGGGCACCGCAUGUCGCAUAGUGUCCACUGUGCUCCCUGCGGCCCUUGAAAAUUCCAAAGAUCAAGUGCAGUCCGCGCCCAGUUGUACUCAUAACCGCAUCAGGUCUCCAAGGUGAACAACCUCUGGGUAAUAGAACAAUAUAGGCAAAAGAAGUAGGCAAAAUAGAUCUGUAACCUCAGGAAAAGGAUUGGCUCUGAGGGUUGGGCACGGGGGUCCCAGUCCCGAACCCAUCGGUUACUGGUACACUGCUUAAGCUAGUCCCGUGAUGAGAGCAAGUCGCCUCGUGCUGGUCGGGGACGGACUGGGAAUGUCUCCCUCAAUGGCCUUCCCCAGGCGACGAACAGUCAACUCAAAACUGGUAUAGAUAAGGGGAAUUUGACUGUUUAAUUAAACAAAGCAUUGCUAUGGUCCCUACGGAUGCUCAGGCAAUGUGAUUUCUACCUAGUGCUCUGAAUGUCAAAGUGAAGAAAUUCAACCAAGCGUGGGUAAACAACAGGAGUGCCUAUGAGUCUCUUAAGGUAGCCGAAUGCCUCGUCAUCUAAUUAGUGACGUGCAUGAAUGGAUUAAUGAGAUUCCCACUGUCCCUAUUUACUAUCCAACGAAACCACAGCCAAGGGAACGAGCUUGGCAGAAUCAGCGGGUAAAGAAGACCCUGUUGAGCUUGACUCUAGUCCAACGUUGUGAAAUGACUUGAGAGGUGUAGGAUUAGUCGGAGCUCUCGGAUGAAAUUGAAAUACCAUUACUUUUAACAUUAUUUUACUUAUUCUGUGAAUCGACGAUGGGGGACGGACCCUCUUUUUGGACCAAAGUCGGCUUCGGAGGCGGCACAUUUGUUAAAAGGUAACACAGGUGUCCUAAAAUGAGUUCAACAGGAACAAAAAUCUUGUGUGGAACAAAAGGGUAAAAGCUCGUUUAAUUCUGAUUCCCAGUACGAAUACAAACCAUGAAAACGUGGCCUAUCAAUCCUUUAGACCUUCGAAAUUUGAAGCUAGAGGUGUCAAAAAACUUACCACAGGGAUAACAAGCUUGUGGCAACCAAAUGUUCGUAGUGACAUUAUUUUUUGAUCCUUCGGUGUUAGAUCUUCCUAUCAUUGUGAAACAAAAUUCACAAGUGUUGGAUUGUUCACCCACCAAUAGGGAACGUGAGCUGGGUUUAGACCAUCGUGAGACAGAUUAGUUUUAUCCUACUGAUGGUCGCGUCACAAUAGUAAUUCAACCUAGUACGAGAAGAAUCAUUGAUUCGUACAACUGGUCGUUACGCUUGGUUGAAAAGCCAGGGGCGUGAAGCUACCGUUCGUUGGAAUAUGACUAAACUCCUCUAAGUUAGAAUCCUGGCUAGAAGCGAUGCACACGCCCGUCAUCCGAUUGCAGACCCGUAGUAGGGGCCUCUGGCCCCCAAUGGCACGUAUCGUAGGUGCAGCGAUCGCGGCAGAUAAGUCGCAGGCACCAUCCUUGGAGCAUAAUUC
rnacentral:rRNA from 1 species